CCCUUAGAUGUUCUGGGCCGCACGCGCGCUACACUGUUCGACGCAGCGAGUCUUAACCUUGACCGAAAGGUUUGGGUAAUCUUCAGCAAAGUCGAACGUGAUGGGGAUCGAUCAUUGCAAUUAUUGAUCGUGAACGAGGAAUUCCUAGUAAGUGCAAGUCAUCAGCUUGCGCUGAUUACGUCCCUGCCCUUUGUACACACCGCCCGUCGCUACUACCGAUUGAAUGGUUUAGUGAGAUCUCUGGAUUGACGCUGGCUAGGGGCGACCCUUGGCCAGACUGCUCGAGAAACUGCUCAAACUUGAUCAUUUAGAGGAAGUAAAAGUCGUAACA
rnacentral:rRNA from 1 species